GGUCAUUUCGAGCCUGAGAACCAACAUCUGCUUUCUGUCAGGGCAGCUCAGCGAUGCCACAAAGUAGAUGCACAGCUCGGACGCAGACAUCUCUCUACGGGUUACUCUUGGGAUGCACAUGGCCCACUUAACGUCUUUAUUCUAAAAGACACUCAGCGAGAGGAAAGGCGUGGAAGCCACCAGCCGCCACUAAAAUCCCCAAAGCAAACACCGCCUUGUUUACCUAAUCAACUCUGCGGCACCGAAAGCCGCUUUUAUUUCGGGAACUUACUCCGCACCCCUUCCUUUUGUCUCGCAGAAAGCCACAGCUCGCAGCAACGCCUUGCAGCACACUACAGCCGAGUGCAGCACCCGACAGCACCGUACCGGCCAGCAGCUCCGCUCCCGCUCCCCGUAUUCGCGCCGCCCGCCCCAGCCCGGCCCUCGCACGCUCCCCCCCGGCGCCCCCAGCCGCAGGGCGGCGGCACCAGCCAGCACGGAGCAACAGGAGCUGAGCACCCACCGCUCCCCGCAGCGCCCGGUGGCUCGCGGGGAGGCCCCCAGGCCUCUCCCCACAGCCGCGGCGGAGCCGGCGAGCAACGCCGAGCCCAGGAGGGCAGAGCGGCGGGGCCAGGCCGCAGCACUCCCCCUCCAUCGGCACGGACGGGCGCUGAUCUCUCCUGGGCCGCGGCCCGCGCCCCCCUCCCCGUUCUCUGCCCCCAGCUUACCUGCGGCUGGGCUGCCCGCCGGAGGAGCGAGUGGGGCGGGCGGGGCCGGGCGGGGCGCCGAAGGGGAGCCCUGGCACCGCCCCCGCGCUCGGCCGGCGGCGGGGCGAGGGGCGGAGCCGGGCAGGCUGCGGCGCAGAGGCCGGCGCGGGGAGACCUGGCAAGGAUCGGCGGGCGGAACCCGCUUCCGGGAAGGGGCGGGUCGGUGGAGGCGUGGGGGAGAGCGGCUUCCGGCAGGGAGUGCGCGCAGGGGGUGUGGCCUCGGCUGCGGGUGGGGCGGCUCUUGGGGUGUGGUCCUAUCAUGGCGGCGACCAGCGGUCAGCUGUAG
rnacentral:lncRNA from 1 species